GAACGAGACCUUCGGGUCUAGUGGCGCACGGGUGCGUAACGCGUGGGAACCUGCCUUUAGGUUCGGAAUAACUCAGAGAAAUUUGAGCUAAUACCGGAUGAUGUCUUCGGACCAAAGAUUUAUCGCCUUUAGAUGGGCCCGCGUUGGAUUAGCUAGUUGGUGGGGUAAAGGCCUACCAAGGCGACGAUCCAUAGCUGGUCUGAGAGGAUGAUCAGCCACACUGGGACUGAGACACGGCCCAGACUCCUACGGGAGGCAGCAGUGGGGAAUAUUGGACAAUGGGCGAAAGCCUGAUCCAGCAAUGCCGCGUGAGUGAUGAAGGCCUUAGGGUUGUAAAGCUCUUUUACCCGAGAUGAUAAUGACAGUAUCGGGAGAAUAAGCUCCGGCUAACUCCGUGCCAGCAGCCGCGGUAAUACGGAGGGAGCUAGCGUUGUUCGGAAUUACUGGGCGUAAAGCGCACGUAGGCGGCUUUUUAAGUCAGGGGUGAAAUCCCGGGGCUCAACCCCGGAACUGCCCUUGAAACUGGGAAGCUAGAAUCUUGGAGAGGCGAGUGGAAUUCCGAGUGUAGAGGUGAAAUUCGUAGAUAUUCGGAAGAACACCAGUGGCGAAGGCGACUCGCUGGA
rnacentral:rRNA from 1 species